CGGCGAGUAGCCUCAGGUGAACGAGUGAAACGUGGUCAAGGAACUCGGCAUAAUGAUCCCGUAACUUCGGAAGAAGGGAUGCCUUGUUUGGUAACCGGACUUGCUCCGGGAGCAGAAUGAGGCCGCAGAGAAUCGGCCCAAGCGACUGUUUAGCAAAAACACAGGUGCGUGCCAAGCCGCAUAAGGCGCCGUAUACGCACUGACGCCUGCCCGGUGCCGGAAGGUUAAGGGGAGAGGUUAGCCGCAAGGCGAAGCUUUGAGCCGAAGCCCCGGUAAACGGCGGCCGUAACGAUAACGGUCCUAAGGUAGCGAAAUUCCUUGUCGGGUAAGUUCCGACCUGCACGAAUGGCGUAACGACUUGGGCACUGUCUCGACCACGUGCUCGGCGAAAUUGCAGUCUCGGUGAGGAUUCCGAGUCCCCGCAGCAGGACAAAAAGACCCCAUGCACCUUUACUGCAGCUUGUCAUUGGACAUUGCACUUCACUGUGUAGCAUAGGUGGGAGCCGGUGAACCCUGGGCGCUAGCCUGGGGGGAGGCAUCAGUGAAAUACCACCCUGUGUAGUGCGAUGCCCUCACCACGGAAGGCAAACCCUUUCUGGGACCGUGGCAGGCGGGCAGUUUGACUGGGGCGGUCGCCUCCGAAAAGUAACGGAGGCGCGCGCAAGGUUGGCUCAGCGCGGUCGGUACUCGCGCUUCUAGAGUGUAACGGCAAAAGCCAGCCUGACGGAGAGACCGACGGGUCGACCCGCCACGAAAGUGGGCCGUAGUGAUCCGGUAGCCCGGGGUGGAGCGGCUAUCGCGCAACGGAUAAAAGGUACGCUGGGGAUAACAGGCUUAUCGCGCCCGAGAGUUCACAUCGACGGCGCGGUUUGGCACCUCGAUGUCGGCUUAUCACAUCCUGGGGCUGGAGAAGGUCCCAAGGGUCCGGCUGUUCGCCGGUUAAAGGGGUACAUGAGCUGGGUUCAGAACGUCGUGAGACAGUUCGGUCUGUAUCCGCUGUGGGCGUUGGAGUGUUGAGGGGAGCGGACUCUAGUACGAGAGGACCGAGUCGGACGAUCCGCUCGUGUCCCGGCUGUCCUGCCAAGGGCACCGCCGGGUAGCGAUGAUCGGCUGUGAUAACCGCUGAAUGCAUCUAAGUGGGAAGCACGCCCCAAGAUGAACACUCCCGAGGCUUCGAGCCUCCUGAAGGGCCGGGGAAGACCACCCCGUCGAUAGGCCGCCCGUGGACGUCGAGCGAUCGACUCCGAGCGCAGCGGUCCUAAUCGCCCGUGCGGCUUGACUAC
rnacentral:rRNA from 1 species